UCAACCCUCUAGAUUUUGCUGAAUGUGUUUUUAAAUGGAGCAUCUCCAAUCACACGGAUUUAUGGAAAACUGGUGUUUUAUGCCACAGAACAUGGUCAUGGAAACCAGAAGAUCCAGAAGAUGGCACAAAGUGUGGAGGCCGAGAAAAAGCAAGGCAACUCCACCUCAAGUUUAGCGUUAGCACAAGUACAGCCAUCCCAGGCCCCUGUGAAUAAGAGCUGAACUUUACAUUACUUCAGUUACAGGAAGAAAACAGUUUACAGCUUAAUGUCCUGGAAAGCCCCAUAUUAGAAUAAGAACAGAGCCCAAGCCAAGGACAGGAAGCCCCUAUUAGAAUGAGAACAGAGCUCAAUGCCCUUGAAAGCCCCAUAUCAAAAUGUAAACAGAACUUGAGAAAUUCCUCCACCCCUUCUGGAAAUCCCCUAGACCAGCCUAUAAGAAACCCAGCUGUAACCCACUUCGGGGGUCCAAGUCCCUGCUCCACUGUGUCGGGUACACUUGGACCCAAGCUCGAGCUUGUAAAUAAACCCUCUGAGUGCUUGCA